CCUACGGGUGGCAGCAGUCGAGAAUCAUUCACAAUGGGGGAAACCCUGAUGGUGCGACGCCGCGUGGGGGAAUGAAGGUCUUCGGAUUGUAAACACCUGUCAUGUGGGCGCAAAUUAAAAAGAUAGUACCACAAGAGGAAGAGACGGCUAACUCUGUGCCAGCAGCCGCGGUCAUACAGAGGUCUCAAGCGUUGUUCGGAAUCACUGGGCGUAAAGCGUGCGUAGGCUGUUUCGUAAGUCGUGUGUGAAAGGCGCGGGCUCAACCCGCGGACGGCACAUGAUACUGCGAGACUAGAGUAAUGGAGGGGGAACCGGGAUUCUCGGUGUAGCAGUGAAAUGCGUAGAGAUCGAGAGGAACACUCGUGGCGAAGGCGGGUUCCUGGACAUUAACUGACGCUGAGGCACGAAGGCCAGGGGAGCGAAAGGGAUUAGAUACCCGUGUAGUC
rnacentral:rRNA from 1 species